GGGAGUGUAGCUCAGUGGUUGAGCAUGUGCCUAGCAUGCUCAAGGCCCUGGGUUCAGACCCCAGCAACCUCC
rnacentral:tRNA from 1 species